UCCGUAGGUGGCGAGCGUUGUCCGGAAUUACUGGGUGUAAAGGGCGUGUAGGCGGGAAUGCAAGUUGGAUGUGAAAUUCCGGGGCUUAACCUCGGCGCUGCAUCCGAAACUGCAUUUCUUGAGUGCUGGAGAGGAAAGCGGAAUUCCUAGUGUAGCGGUGAAAUGCGUAGAUAUUAGGAGGAACACCAGUGGCGAAGGCGGCUUUCUGGACAGUAACUGACGCUGAGGCGCGAAAGCGUGGGUAGUAAACAGG
rnacentral:rRNA from 1 species